GANGGGGGGGGAGGAAAGAGGUCAGAGGGAGAGGAAAUGGAGAAAGAAGAAUGGAGUGGGAGGAGGUGAAUUUACAUAAAUUUUCCGUAGACGGGCUGCACGAGGGCGGAGGCAGGGCGGCGGGGGGCGCGGGUGCGUCGCGGCGCUGGGCGCAGGCGGACGCCGGCGUGGGCUGAGCCGUGGCGAGCGAGCUGCGCGAGGGCGGAGGCGGGGAGGGGGGCGCGGGCGCGGCGCUGGGCAAGGACGAAGCUAUGUGGAGGCCCAAGGUGGCCAUGGCCCCCCUCAACUUUUCAAUAUUUGCUUAAUGGUCCUUCAAAGUUUUUUUUUUUUUGUGGACCAUGGAUAGCUUUGGCCCCCCUACUUUUUCAAUAUUUACUUAAUAGUAUGGUGUCAACAUAUAUUACUCACUUUUUCUUUCUCCUAAUCAUAUACUCUUUUUAUGGGUGAAAAUA